AAGUCGUAACAAGGUUUCCGUAGGUGAACCUGAAGGAUCAUUAACACGUAUCCAAACGUUAAAACCCCCCCCCGUGAACCUUCAUCCUGCUCUUGUAACCCGCGUAGUUGGCAAUCUCUGAUAAAUCAUAGCCCAGAAAGUUGUAGUGAUUCAGAGACCUCUGGCUACGUGCGAACAUUGGAACCGAGCGGUAGUUCGAUAGGCAAUGUCAUUGAUUGUGCAAGGAUAGCGCUUGUACGAUUCCUGUAGACCGUACACUCGGGCAGGAGCUUUGCCAAAGGGUCCCCAUGCCCCCUAAUAACCCCACAGUUUAAUGUGAAGCUCAAUGUAAUACACUGGGUCAAAAAACCGAACAACUGUUAACAAUGGGUAUCUUGGUUCUC
rnacentral:misc_RNA from 1 species